AUGGCUCUGACCGUGCUAUCCCUAUGGGCGUCUGGCAUUACAAAAUCAGAUGCAACUCGCAAGCUGGAUGAAGUAUCCGCAGAGUUCCUAACAAAGUUUCUUGCAAACAGACUCCAGAAGGAUUGUAUUGCUUGGAGUUUUGAAUACAUUCAUCAAUGCCGUCAAUCUAAAAAGCCAAUUUUCAUUCUCAAGCUUGAUUUUGCAAAAGAUUUUGAUACUGUGGAACAUGAGUUGAUCCUUCAGAUGCUUAAAUUCAAAGGAUUUGAUGAAAAAUGGAUUGGUUGGAGUAAGCAGUUACUCUGA
rnacentral:rRNA from 1 species